rnacentral:lncRNA from 1 species
AGAGAGAGAGAUGGAGAGGGGGAAGGUACUCCAGAGAGAGAGAGAGAGAGAUGGAGAGGGGGAAGGUACUCCAGAGAGAGAGAGAGAUGGAGAGGGGGAAGGUACUCCAGAGAGAGAGAGAGAGAGAUGGAGAGGGGGAAGGUACUCCAGAGAGAGAGAGAGAGAGAUGGGGAGGGGGAAGGUACUCCAGAGAGAGAGAGAGAGAGAUGGAGAGGGGGAAGGUACUCCAGAGAGAGAGAGAGAGAGAGAUGGAGAGGGGGAAGGUACUCCAGAGAGAGAGAGAUGGAGAGGGGGAAGGUACUCCAGAGAGAGAGAGAGAUGGAGAGGGGGAAGGUACUCCAGAGAGAGAGAGAUGGAGAGGGGGAAGGUACUCCAGAGAGAGAGAGAGCGACAGUGAUCUGAGACUAAAGGCUGUCUUUUCUAUUCUGCUGCGUCUGUCAGAGUUAAAGCAGCCAGCCAUCGAGGUGGAGAAUAUUCAGCACAAAUGUCCUGUCUCUACUCUGUGUCAGGACCAAAUCAUUCAUCAGACCGGAUCAUGCCAGAGGGAGUACGCAUUGGUUUAAAAUUACAUCAAAACAAGGGAAAUGUUACGCUCAUUUAGCAGGGUUGGGUCAUUUCUAUGAUAAAGGUGGAUGGGUGGAUGGGUUUAUGGGGUUUUGUCAGGCGGCAGCCUUGUGUGUCUUCACUCCCCUCUGGAUACUGGAGAUAAGAUUUAUAUGGAGAGUUAUGAAUGGAGGGAGGGAGGAGAGGAUGCUGGGAACUGGAGGGAGGAGAGGAUGCUGGGAACUAGAGGGAGGGAGGAUGCUGGGAACUGGAGGGAGGGAGGAGAGGAUGCUGGGAACUGGAGGGAGGGAGGAGAGAAUGCUGGGAACUAGAGGGAGGGAGGAUGCUGGGAACUGGAGGGAGGGAGGAGAGGAUGCUGGGAACUGGAGGGAGGAAGGAGAGGAUGCUGGGAACUGGAGGGAGGGAGGAGAGGAUGCUGGGAACUGGAGGGAGGGAGGAGAGGAUGCUGGGAACUAGAGGGAGGGAGGAGAGGAUGCUGGGAACUGGAGGGAGGGAGGAGAGGAUGCUGGGAACUAGAGGGAGGGAGGAGAGGAUGCUGGGAACUGGAGGGGGAGGAUGCUGGGAACUGGAGGGAGGAAGGAGAGGAUGCUGGGAACUGGAGGGAGGGAGGAGAGGAUGCUGGGAACUGGAGGGAGGGAGGAUAAUGGGAACUGGAGGGAGGAAGGAGAGGAUGCUGGGAACUGGAGGGAGGGAGGAGAGGAUGCUGGGAACUGGAGGGAGGGAGGAUGCUGGGAACUGGAGGGAGGGAGGAGAGGAUGCUGGGAACUGGAGGGAGAGAGGAAGAGGAUGCUGUAACUCGAGGGAGGAGAGGAUGCUGGGAACUGGAGGGAGGGAGGAGAGGAUGAUGGGAACUCGAGGGAGGAGAGGAUGCUGGGAACUGGUUAAGGAAAAGCUUCCAUUUCUCAUCUGUCAAAAAAUUUGACAGUUGAAGUUAUAUAAACUUCUCUUUGUAGAAAUAGAUGUUAUAUCUUGAGUGUAUUAGAACAUCUGCUGCGGUGUGACAGGUG